UGCACACAUCAUCACAGUGAAAACAGAUCUGCAUUCUCAGUUACAAAGGAAACCGGUAUCUGUCAGUGUCACAAUAAAAAGUCUCAACAAAAGUUCCAUAGUUAAAUGAAUAACAGCUACUUUCAACAAACCUAGUACCCUGGACAUUACCUUAUGGCCUCCAUCUCCAGUAAAUAACUACUAAAAACACAAACAGUCCAAACACAUCAGAGACCAACGGGGGAGCAGCUGAGAAAUAAACCCAUUCUGUCACCAGAUCUCCCGGUUACCCACAAUGCACCUGGAGUUGUCCCUGCCGUAAUGGUGAUCUAAUUAAGGUUAUACUUAGUGGAGUACUACACUAUUUAGUCUCUCUCUCCACGCGUCCAUGCCUGCUGCAGUUGACAGACAGCUCCAGGCUGAGUGAUCCAACCUUAUUUACCCAGGUUGGUCUCUGUGACGUUAACCAUCUCUACCGGAGAGACCUGGCUGGUGCUUGUUAAACAAAAGUCUGUUUUCAAAACCUCGCGUGAACGUGCAUAUAAGAGGAGAACACACUGUCAUUUCCUCAAGAUUACCUCUCCACUUUAUACGCAUCUCUCAGUGGAAUCCAGACACAAGCAAAGGGCCCCGAGGUAAAAUCAAAUGGGUUUAUAACUCCACACCCUUCCCCCCAGGUCCACCACAAAUAAAUAUCUUCUCUUUAUAUCUGGGAGGUUAAAGUUCAGCACAGCAGCGGAGUACAGGAGCCCUCAAGGUCCAAACACCCGCAGCUCGUUAGGGCUUGUGGUUAAUUGAUCCGGGCUCACUCAGCAAGCGGCUCCUGGCCAGCUAUCAUAGGGUUGUUAAAUUAAAAGCUAAUUAGAGGAGGAAGUGACAUCAUGAGACAGGAUUACGCUGCCUGAGUGGGCUCUCAACGAUCACCAGGAGUUCUCACCGGGGGCCCCAAAAACUAGGGGACCUCCACUCUGUUGAUAAGGCCCUUCAAUAUGCUGUAGGUAAGGUUGGUGAGGUGUAAAGAGAGAGCACAACACAGCAUAAAGAGCAUGAUUUUGAAAAAAUAAACAUAAAAAACGUCCCGCCCUCUCUGCACCCUCCCUCCCUAUGUUUCUCAAGCAUUGAGAAUGCUUACAAUCACCACCUGUCUUUGACCGGGUGAAUACAUUACCCAAAUUAGGGAGAGAUGCCCUGAUUGGUCAGAAAUUAACCAGGUGUGGUCUAAAAAUUUAAAUAUUCUAAUACUAUUCUCAAAUUAUCACUCUUAAAUCUUCCCUACAGUACCUUCAAUCGAUGUAUUCUGUCUGAACAAAUGUACAUUAAAUUAAAUGUAUAAAACAGAGUAUGUAUAUAUGGGGCAUUAGCUGGGAGGCUAUUGCUAACGGUGUUGGGGUGUUUGCCACCAUGAGGGCAGGAUAGCAACAAAAGCUUUUUAAUCAUUCUUUACAGCAGAAUACAACUAUUUAAAUAAAUCUGAAACUGUAGAAACAAGGUUCAAGCUACGGUUCACUAGGCUAACCCCCUAGCUUCCAAAAGGUCUUCUGAAAAAAGACACCUGAAAAAAGUAGCUCUAUCAUCGUGCUAUCACCGUAUUGGUUAGUUAGAAACGAGAGCUACAGCCAAGGGUUCUGUUGCCCUCUGCCAGCCACGAGAAGCCGGCUCCCCCAUCCUGAAGCUCAGAAACACCUUGCUAUGGCUCUUUGAAAACACCAGUCAGGGCACUGGUCUCUGUUAGCAUCUACUUUACAAGCUAGGCAGCUAGCGGCUAGGGCCGAGCGACGGAGGGAAGGGAGGGGAGGAGGAGGAGAGGAGGUGGAGGAGAGGAGGUGGAGGACAAGAGGAGGAGGAGGAGAGGAGGUGGAGGGGUGGAGGGGGAGAGGAGGAGGAGGAGAGGAGGUGGAGGAGAGGAAAUGAGAGAGGAGUGGAGGUAACAGUGGAGGACGACGGAAGGUGAAAGAGAGGAGAGGAGGUUGAGAUGAGGGGUGGUGGACAGGAGGGUUCGAUGACAGAAGUACAUAGAGGCGGGGAGAAGAGAGGAGUGAGGGAGAGGUCAAUAAGGUGGAGUGGAUGGACGGGGAUGAAGAAGACAUGAUGGCGUCUGAACGGGGGGACCCUGGUUUUUACACGUUCGUCCGACACUUUGGGAAGAUGGGUCCUCCUUCAAGCCUUCUCUUUCUUACUGUGAACAAAGAUAGAAAGGGGGAGAGAGAGAGAGAGAGAGAGAGAGAGAGAGAGAGAGA
ensembl:lncRNA